GACGAACGCUGGCGGCGUGCUUAACACAUGCAAGUCGAACGGAAAGGCCCUGCUUUUGUGGGGUGCUCGAGUGGCGAACGGGUGAGUAACACGUGAGUAACCUGCCCUUGACUUUGGGAUAACUUCAGGAAACUGGGGCUAAUACCGGAUAGGAGCUCCUGCUGCAUGGUGGGGGUUGGAAAGUUUCGGCGGUUGGGGAUGGACUCGCGGCUUAUCAGCUUGUUGGUGGGGUAGUGGCUUACCAAGGCUUUGACGGGUAGCCGGCCUGAGAGGGUGACCGGCAAAAUUGGGACUGAGAUACGGCGCAGACUCCUACGGGAGGCAGCAGUGGGGAAUAUUGCAAAAUGGGCGGAAGCCUGAUGCAGCAACGCCGCGUGCGGGAUGACGGCCUUCGGGUUGUAAACCGCUUUCGCCUGUGACGAAGCGUGAGUGACGGUAAUGGGUAAAGAAGCACCGGCUAACUACGUG
rnacentral:rRNA from 1 species